GAUGAACGCUGGCGGCGUGCCUAAUACAUGCAAGUCGAGCGAACAGACGAGGAGCUUGCUCCUCUGACGUUAGCGGCGGACGGGUGAGUAACACGUGGAUAACCUACCUAUAAGACUGGGAUAACUUCGGGAAACCGGAGCUAAUACCGGAUAAUAUAUUGAACCGCAUGGUUCAAUAGUGAAAGACGGUUUUGCUGUCACUUAUAGAUGGAUCCGCGCCGCAUUAGCUAGUUGGUAAGGUACCGGCUUACCAAGGCAACGAUGCGUAGCCGACCUGAGAGGGUGAUCGGCCACACUGGAACGGAGACACGGUCCAGGCUCCUACGGGAGGCAGCAGUAGGGAAUCUUACGCAAUGGGCGAAAGCCUGACGGAGCAGCGCCGCGUGAGUGAUGAAGGUCUUCGGAUCGUAAAACUCUGUUAUUAGGGAAGAACAAAUGUGUAAGUAACUAUGCACGUCUUGACGGUACCUAAUCAGAAAGCCACGGCUAACUACGUG
rnacentral:rRNA from 1 species